UUCAUAUGUUGGAUGGUGGUACUGGAGCAAGAGGUGUCUGGCAUAGAAGCUACUGCGAGCGGGAAAUGAUAAAAGAGACCUGAUAGUGGAGGCAGCUAAGCACUCACCCAGAUACAGCUAAGAAUGAGGCCUUGAAAAUGAGGGAGGACUUCUUCCUGGGAGCUGACUGUUGGGUCAGGAAAGCGUGGCCUCCACGGAGAUUCACUGGCCCAGUUUGCAUGAGGAGGCCAAUCACUGACCAGGGUUCCCCCAUCUGCAACAGCUGCAUGAAUGCUUAGGCAUGCUUGGGGAGAUAAAUAUGAGACUAAUGACCAUAGAUAAUAAAUUCAGAAUGUUAUGACAGCUAAUUGAGAACUCACACAUGGGCCUGCGGACUGCUCAGCCAAGGGCCCUGUCUCAAUGCUGGCUGCGUUCUCCUUCCCUCCUGGUUGUGUGGGCUGUGGCCUUCUUUCUCGCCUUUAGGUGCUGCUGCUGUGUACACAACUCCUAGUGGUUCUCUUCUCGUCUGACCACACAGUCCCUCUUUAGGAAACCAGACUAUGUCACCCCCAAAUACGCUUCUUUGACAUAAAAAUUAUUUUUGAGCUGAAGGCAAUUGAGAAGCAGCAAACGGGGAAAAAACUCUUAUCCUCUAGCUUUUCUUCCUGAAGACAGGAUAUAGAUUCUCCCUUACUGGAGACAGCUCUACAUUCCUGUCAGCCCUGAGAGGCCCCAGGAGAGUCUGCAAACAAACUUGACUCCCAUGUAUUUACCUUCCCAUAAUUUCCCAUGCUUGGAAACCUAAAACCACUUUUCUUUGUCCUGUCAUUUCUCUACACGUUUGUUUUUCUUUGUUGAAGAUGCCUUGUAAGUGGAGUUCUAAGCCACCAUUUUGAGUUACUUUUCACUGACGUUUCUCCCUUGAGAUGUGCGCUGCAUGCCUUAAUAAACUGUUUUUCU
rnacentral:lncRNA from 10 species